UCUAAUCUCCAGGCUUUUGUGUUUCAGUAUAUAUCCUCAGAAUAAAUCCACUCUUUGUAAAUUCAAGACAACAAGGUUAAAUUGUAUCCUUUAAAAACAGAAACAUAUUCGCAGGGGAAUACUUGAACUCAGGAAGUUAAUCUUGCUGUGACCAACCAGUGGAGUGGUUACUAAAUAAGAGGAGCCAGUUCACCUCGCCUAGACAACUUGGGGUGUCUAAUCUGGAGCCAUCAUAAUUUAGAAAACCUUAUGCAAAGUCUGGUCAUCAUGCUGAGGAGUUGCAAGUAUAAUUGAACUGUGCAAUCAUCAGCGAAGAUGCUUCUGUCUUACAGAGAAAGGAAGAUCAUCCAUGAAGCAGCUGACAACAUCUAGGCCUACAGCACACCAGAGAUUGAUUCUGAUUGGUGUCAAGUAUAAGAAAACCACGAGGAAUGAAUACAUUGGUUCCCUACCUCUGGAACACCAUACCUUGGUUCAACUCUCAGCAGCCGUAGAGAGAGAGCUCCACCGCUGAUCAGCAAAUCCUACAAGAAGAAAACGUGGCAAGGAGGAAUAGAUGUGCUUCUCUGUGAAACUGGCCAAGGUUACUGGGAAUCUGAAACUUCAGUAAAGAUCACUUUUCAAUCAUUUCCUAUCUCCAAAGACCCAGUUGAUGUUACUCAUCCUCUGUCCUGAUUGAAGCAGUAGUUGAGAUAAAAGAAAAUUAGAUUGCGUGCUAAUUUCUGUAUGUUUUUUCUCUUGAAUGUCACACGUAAUUCUCUGUUGCUGGAUGCCACACUUUGUAAAGCAAUAAAUCCAAACUGAAAUGGAAUUGCAAUACUGAUUAACUCGCUCACCACUGAAUUUGCACAAACCCUUCUUCGAGUAAUUUUGUUACUGCACAACUGGAAGAAGACUUUCCUGUAUAUUUGCUACACUCAGCAAAGUCCUGGAAAGGAUAUUUAGAUGAAUAUCCUACCACGUAAUCUAAUUACU